AAAUAAUGGUCUGAGUUCGGAGCAGAUUGAGUAUUUUGUUGAGCACUUAGUUAGCUGUCACCAACACAGAGACUUCAGGAUUGAAGAGCCGUGGCUGACAGGAAAUGCUGUUUACGGUCUCAUUACCAAAUGCCUCAAUCUGCAGCCACACAUCAAAGAAAUCAGGGUCAACCAUGCAUCCAUAAACAUCAUUACAGAGGGCAAUUCAUGUCUCAGCUCCACUUUUGUAGAUCCUGAAAAGUUUUCACCUGCCCUGAAGUCCAUCAAGUGUGUUGGUAUUUUGUUUGAUUCUUUGAUGACUGUGACAUAAAUGGACAGCAUCUCGCUCCUCUGACACUUCCCUUUCAGAAAUGCCACGCCUUGCAGGAUUUAAGAUUCUCAGCUCGAAAUGG